CAUUGUUAUCAAACACAAAAUCAUAUUUAUGUUUAUUUAUAUUACAUUAGCAUUUUUUAUCUUAGUUUUGCAUUUAUUUAUUAAUUAUUUAUUAAUUGCUAACAUUUACUUGUCACAGUGUCUGGUCUGUGUAUCCCUGGGUGUCCACUAGAGGUCUCACUUCCCCUUAUCAUCACCCCACUUCAGAACUACAUUUCCCACAAGUCUUGUUGGUACUCAUCACUGUUCAUUGUAUUCAGCUGUUCCCACUUACAUUGUUUGCACCUGUCUCUAUAUACCUGGUUUGUUUCUGUCUUUGUUACGGAGCCCUUGUUUAAUGUCACCCUGCUUUUUCUGGUUCCCUUGUGGAUGUUCGUGGUUCGUGGUUCGUGGUUCGUGGUUCGUGUUUCGUGUUUCGUGUUUCGUGUUUCGGACUGCUUAUCUGGAUUUUGACCUUUGCCUGACUGGAUUUAUGAUUCUGGAUUACCCUAAUAAAACACUGCAUUUGGAUCUACCUGUUUGUGUGUGUGGCGUGACAGAAGGACUCCGUCACAACCUAGAUCCAGCGGUAUGUUUUUUUGAGGUUUCUCCCCCAGCCAUCGAGCGGGAGAGAGAGAUUGGGUUUGAGGGAACCCGCCUGGUCGUUUUUCGUGUGACCCGGGGAGGUUGCAGAGGAGUGAGUGGUCGAGAGGAGGUCCGGCAUCGCUCUCCACCAUGGCCCCCCUUCGACCCUGGGCUCGUGAGGGACGGAUCGGAGCUGCCGUCUCUCCAUCACGGACGGAGAAGGGGGAGGAAGCACACGUCUGUUGAUCCAGAGACAGUUCACGUCACGUCUGCCGAGCCUGUGUCUUCGGACAAGACGGCCGCUGGAACAUUUUUGGAUUAUUUUUCUAUGCUGUCCAAGAUCCUAGAGAUUCCCAAGAGUGUUCACGUCACGUCUGCUGAUCCAGAGACUGUUCACGUCACAUCUGCUGAGCCAGCGCCACAGUACAAGAUGGCCGCCAGCCCAGCGCCAUUGCACAAGAUGGCCGCCAGCUCAGCACCACAGCACAAGAUGGCCGCCAGCCCAGCUAGCCCAGCGCCAAUGCCCGAGAUGGCCACCAGCCCAGCACCACAGCACAAGUUGGCCGCCAGCCCAGCGCCACAGCACGAGAGGGGCGAAUCCACACCGGUGUCGCCAGACAAGAUGGCCGACUCAAGGCCUGAGUCGCUGGACAAGGUACCGCUGACUCGCCGUCAUAGAGGGCGGAGGAGGAGACAGGCAUCGACCGUUCCUCAAGGCCCGGAGGCCGUUCCCGAGCAGCCCGCUGCCGUCCCGGAGGAGGUUCCCGAGCAGCCCGCUGCCGUCCCGGAGGAGGUUCCCGAGCAGCCCGCUGCCGUCCCGGAGGAGGUUCCCGAGCAGCCCGCUGCCGUCCCGGAGGAGGUUCCCGAGCAGCCCGCUGCCGUCCCGGAGGAGGUUCCCGAGCAGCCCGCUGCCGUCCCGGAGGAGGUUCCCGAGCAGCCCGCUGCCGUCCCGGAGGAGGUUCCCGAGCAGCCCGCUGCCGUCCCGGAGGAGGUUCCCGAGCAGCCCGCUGCCGUCCCGGAGGAGGUUCCCGAGCAGCCCGCUGCCGUCCCGGAGGAGGUUCCCGAGCAGCCCGCUGCCGUCCCGGAGGAGGUUCCCGAGCAGCCCGCUGCCGUCCCGGAGGAGGUGCCCCCUGAACUGACUGAUGCACCUUGGCUGCCAGGGGAGCCAUCACUGCCUGUCCCUGUUCCCCUACACGGGCCUGGCCCUCCAUCCCUCCCCCUGUUCUACUUCCACCAGUCCACCUCCCUCCUGGUCUUUUUGGUUUGUUUUUUUUUGUGUCUGAGGAGCAUCUGGAAGCUGCUCCUUAGAGGGGGGGUAAUGUCACAGUGUUUGGUCUGUGUAUCCCUGGGUGUCCACUAGAGGUCUCACUUCCCCUUAUCGUCACCCCACUUCAGAACUACAUUUCCCACAAGUCUUGUUGGUACUCAUCACUGUUCAUUGUAUUCAGCUGUUCCCACUUACAUUGUUUGCACCUGUCUAUAUAUACCUGGUUUGUUUCUGUCUUUGUUACGGUGUCCUUGUUUAAUGUCACCCUGCUUUUCUGGUUCCCUUGUGGAUAUUUGUGUUUCGUGUUUUGGACUGCUUAUCUGGAUUUUGACCUUUGCCUGACUGGAUUUAUGAUUCUGGAUUACCCUAAUAAAACACUGCAUUUGGAUCUACCUGUUUGUGUGCGUGGCGUGACAUUUACUAAUACAUUUGUAUGUAAAUCUUCAAAAGCUAUAUUUGUUAACAUUAGUAA
ensembl:lncRNA